GGUAAACCCCCAUUUUCGUUACGAAGAACUUGAACUAAUUUGAAGAUGACUCGCGGGAUUCAACACCGUACGAAAGCCAAGAGAAUGAACAAGGUUCCUCUUCUUCAACCUCAAUUUAAUCUCUGCUGCUCUUUUUUUUGUCUUGGAUUUUUGUGGAACAAAAGUGAAUACAGGUUUCGAAGAAAGGGGAAGGUUCUUCUUCGUGUUCUUCGGUGCCGCAACAUCCUGGUGUGGACAAGUUGGAGGAAGGCGAGGAGCUUCAGUGUGAUCCUUCUGCUUACAACACUCUUCACGAUCAAAGCAUUGUUGAGUAGAAUUUGCAUAAUCUAAAGCUGAAUAUAUUUUAACAGCUUUGAUAUUGUUCGUGACACUCUGGGCUUAGUUCGAACAUAAUUCCCCCACAUUGUAUAUUUCAUGGCAGGGACUUAGGCGGAGAAAGCUUCUUGGAAUUCUAUUGGAAUUCUAUUGUGGGUUUGGGACUUAAGCUCUCAUCUGAAUGCUCUAGCAGAGUCAGAAACAGAGGGUGUCCAAGGAGCUGCUGCAGUUUUUAAUCAGGCCCCCCUUUAUAAACAUAAAUACAAAUAUGAAGGCUAUGCUAUAGACUGGAGUCUUCUUGUUCCCGGAGCCGGAAGGCUCGUAUCUGGGGAUUGCAAUAAUUGAAUUUAUCUCUGGGAACCUAUGUCUGCUGGCUACUGCAACAUGGAAUAUUGACAAAACUCCAUUUGUUGGGCAUACUGCUAGUGUUGAAGAUCUUUAAUGGAGCCCUACAGAGCCUCAUGUUUUUGCUUCUUGUUCCGUGGAUGGAAGCAUUGCUAUAUGGGAUACCCGAUGGGGGAAGUUGCCAGCGACAUCUUUUAAAGCUCAUAAUGCUGAUGUGAAUGUAAUGUCAUGGAACAGGUUGGCUAGUUGUAUGUUUGCCUCAGGGAGUGGUGAUGGGACAAUUUCCAUUCGUGAUCUGAGAUUGCUCAAGGUAUGAGCUCUAAUAUUAUAGCGGUCAAGAUCACCCUGCUAUCCCCUUAAAGAAAAACAAUAAAAUAGUAAACAUGCUUUCAUUCAGAACAAGGAUCUCAAUUUCAAAAACUUGAUGCGGAUUUAUGAAUACCACCAACUAACUAGCAAUUGCAUCGGGUCAUACCAAGUAAUAAUUCAGGUGAGUGAGUGUCAAUCCUACGAAGAUUAAUGAAUUAAGUAACAAUAGUUGAGUGAUUAGGCUAGUUAGACAAGCUAAAAUGAGUGGUUUCAAGUUCAAAUAGCAUAAAACAGUAAAUAAGAGAAUGCAAGAGAGUAAACAGUGAAUGGUUGGUGAAAAUAGUAUGAAAAAAUAGUUA